rnacentral:rRNA from 1 species
GUAGGUGGCAAGCGUUGUCCGGAAUUAUUGGGCGUAAAGCGCGCGCAGGCGGUUCUUUAAGUCUGAUGUGAAAGCCCACGGCUCAACCGUGGAGGAUCAUUGGAAACUGGAGAACUUGAGUACAGAAGAGGAAAGCGGAAUUCCACGUGUAGCGGUGAAAUGCGUAGAGAUGUGGAGGAACACCAGUGGCGAAGGCGGCUUUCUGGUCUGUAACUGACGCUGAGGCGCGAAAGCGUGGGGGAGCAAACAGGAUUAGAUACCCUGGUAGUCCACGCCGUAAACGAUGAGUGCUAAGUGUUAGGGGGUUUCCGCCCCUUAGUGCUGCAGCUAACGCAUUAAGCACUCCGCCUGGGAGUACGGCCGCAAGGCUGA